CUGCUUACCUGACAGGGGGGAUACCAUAGUCAUGAAGAUGGUUUUCCCAGGAUAAGGUCAUCCAUUGCACUUNGGGAAUGCUGANCCCUGCAGUUUCCCCAAAUGCGGGAGACNUGACUGCAUAAUUUGUGGUAGUGGGGGAUUGCGUUGGCACUUUCCCCUU
rnacentral:snRNA from 1 species